GUCUUCCCACCUGCACUUCUUGUGCUGGGUAUUUCACAGUUAAUGGUGAACAGGAAGGAUCUGGAGGCGACCUGGUGCUUUGGGAGGUGGGGUGGAGGGCUCGGCUGGGCGCCUUGCAAUGACGGCAUCCUCUUGAUGCUGAUACAGAAGGAAGGGUCAUAGCCAUGCCAGGACAGUGACAGCAGGGGCAGCUGCCACCGCCCCCUCCCCUGGCACAUGCCACUUGACUCAGUGCCUAAAGAUAACAAAACAGAGCCAUAGGAAAACAGAAGAAUUCCAUUAGCCGGAGCAGUCGUCCUCAGGAAGAGGCACACAGGCUUCAACCUGCCAAAGUUCCCCCAACGUGUGUUCUUUGCCAUGACACCGCUGCAGUCCUUCCUGGUCUUUUGUUAACUGAUCACCUGUCUGGGCACCAAGAAUUGACAGCUUCAACUGGAAAACUCAUUUAGGUGGAGUUCUGAGCAAGUCUGCUAAUGAUGAACUUCCUUCUUCAGUCCCAUAAGACUGGAUACACCUCUGCAUUUAAAGAUAGAAUGAAGGGCCUGUGAAAAAGAGGGAACUCCCCAGACGAACGCAGGGAAGGGUAGAAGGUCAGGGCCCUGCGGGAGGAGCGUGUGUGGUCCUUUCUGCGCAGGAGCAAAGCAAGCCAGGGCUCGAAAAGGUUCUUGACAGAAACCGUCUCCAGUGUUUCCAUUGCCUCAACGCAGCUCGGAGGACUUCUCUGCCCACUGUGGUCUGGCUCCCCCCCCUCCUCCCCGGCACCCACUCCUCCUGGAAGGGCUGCUCCUGCCAAGGUCGUCAACAACCUCCUUGCUCCAGACCAUGCCCAGCGCGCCUCCUUGGUCCGCACUGUCCUUGUCAUCCUGUCUCCGGGGACCAGCUCCCAGGCUCGGCUCCUGCCUCUGCACCGCCUCCCUCUCCAUCUCUGUUGCAGGCUCUCCUUCCCACCCCCGGCCUUGAACACAGCCCUCCUCUGCUUUUUCCCCAUCACAACGGGGCUAUUUCUCCUGUGUGUCGCAGGCACCGAAUUUCAUUAUGUCACAAGCGGAGCGAUGCCUCUCAUACCCCCACCCAUACCUGCCCAGACCUGAGAGCUGCUGUCCUAUGCUCCCCGCCCAGGAAAGCCACCAUCGUCCACAAGGGGGCUUGUCCCCUCCCCUCCCCCACCAUCCCCCACAAAUCGUUGCCCAGAGCUGCCCUUGACCUGUCAGAUCCCCUCACCUCUGCCUCCUUCCAUCCACCCCGGAUGCCACGAUUCCUGCCUGGAUUCCUGGAAGUGCCCCCUCACUAGUCUCCCUUCUCUCCAACCACUUCUCCAAACCACAGACCGAAUGCUCUUUCUAAAAUGAAAAUCUUGGAGUUCCCAUGGUGGCUCAGCAGGUGAAGAACCCAACAUAGUGUCCAUGAGGAUGCGGGUUCGAUUCCUGGCCUCGCUCAGUGGGUUAAGGAGUAGGCAUUGCUGCAAGCUGCAGUGUAGGUGGCAGAUGCUGCUGAGAUGCCAUUGCUGUGGCUGUGGCUAGGCUGGCAGCUGCAGCUCCCACUGACCCCUAGCCUAGGAACUUCCAUAUGCCGCAGGUUCAGCCCUUGAAAGAAAAAAUAAAAUAAUAAAAUAAAAUAAAAUCUGUUCA
rnacentral:lncRNA from 1 species